UGAGGAAUAUUGGGCAAUGGGGGAAACCCUGACCCAGCAACGCCGCGUGAAGGAUGAAGGUCUUCGGAUUGUAAACUUUUGUCGCAAGGGACGAACACAAUGACGGUACCUUGUGAGGAAGCCACGGCUAACUACGUGCCAGCAGCCGCGGUAAUACGUAGGUGGCAAGCGUUGUCCGGAUUUACUGGGUGUAAAGGGCGUGUAGGCGGAGACUUAGGUCAGAUGUGAAAACUCAAAGCUUAACUUUGAGACUGCAUUUGAAACCAAGUCCCUUGAGUAUCGGAGAGGAAAGUGGAAUUCCUAGUGUAGCGGUGGAAUGUGUAGAUAUUAGGAGGAACACCAGUGGCGAAGGCGGCUUUCUGGACGAUAACUGACGCUGAGGCGCGAAAGCGUGGGGAGCAAACA
rnacentral:rRNA from 1 species